rnacentral:rRNA from 1 species
AUACGGAAGGUCCGGGCGUUAUCCGGAUUUAUUGGGUUUAAAGGGAGCGCAGGCGGAGAUGCAAGCGUGACGUCAAAUUUCGGGGCUCAACCCCGUCUCGCGUCGCGAACUGCGUCCCUUGGUUGCGGGAAGGGGAGGCGGAACUCGGGGUGUAGCGGGGAAAUGCAUAGAUAUCACGAAGAACUCCGAUCGCGAAGGCAGCCUUCCGGCCCGUCAACGACGCUCAUGCUCGAAGGUGCGGGUAUCAAGCAGGAUUAGAUACCCUGGUAGUCCGCACAGUAAACGAUGGACACCCGCGGUUUGGCCUAUAUGGCUGAGCCGCCAAGCGAAAGCGUUAAGUGUCCCACCUGGGGAGUACGCCGGCAACGGUGAAACUCAAAGGAAUUGGCGGGG